UCUCCCAUAACCUUUCUCUCUAUCCUGGCCUGGUCUCUCUUCCACACCAGAACUUUCCUCUAGAUCAAUGGUCCAGGACCAUCAGAACCAGUGAACCACACUCCUGACCAUUCUCCAAAUAGUCAUUUGGCCAAAUACGAGGAUCUUGGCCAGAGCUUCAUUUGGAAGCCCCAGAGACCUGGACCAGACUUGCAGGUAGACAUUCACCAAUGCGUGAUUUGAGGGCUGCUCAAAGGGACCUCCCCACUUCCCACAUGGAGCACUCUCGGGAUUAGCCAUCACCGGAAACUCCUUUCCCGCAGGACAGAGCCCAGACAACUCAUUCUGUCUUCAAAAGCCACCACUGUCUGGCACCAACCCACUUUUCCAAACUCCACCUCCUGCGACUUCAGCCACAUGGAACAAGCAUGGACUGAUGUUCUCUAUACCUUUCCAACUCCAGCUCUUGGCUUCUGCUCUUUUCUCUGCCAAUGAGGCUGUGCUGUCUAUUACUGAGUAACAAUAUUACCAUAUACUUAGCACCUUUAAACAAUACACACUUAUUAUCUC
ensembl:lncRNA LINC01968 long intergenic non-protein coding RNA 1968